GAUGAACGCUGGCGGCGUGCCUAAUACAUGCCAGUCGAGCGAACAGACGAGGAGCUUGCUCCUCUGACGUUAGCGGCGGACGGGUGAGUAACACGUGGAUAACCUACCUAUAAGACUGGGAUAACUUCGGGAAACCGGAGCUAAUACCGGAUAAUAUAUUGAACCGCAUGGUUCAAUAGUGAAAGACGGUUUUGCUGUCACUUAUAGAUGGAUCCGCGCCGCAUUAGCUAGUUGGUAAGGUAACGGCUUACCAAGGCAACGAGGCGUAGCCGACCUGAGAGGGUGAUCGGCGACACGGGAAGGGAGACACGGUCCAGACUCCUACGGGAGGCAGCAGUAGGGAAUCUGACGCAAUGGGCGAAAGCCUGACGGAGCAACGCCGCGUGAGUGAUGAAGGUCUUCGGAUCGUAAAACUCUGUUAUUAGGGAAGAACAAAUGUGUAAGUAACUAUGCACAUCUUGACGGUACCUAAUCAGAAAGCCACGGCUAACUACGUG
rnacentral:rRNA from 1 species